GCGGGUGUAAAGCUCAGUGGUAGAGCAUUCGACUGUAGAUCGAGAGGUCCCCGGUUCAAACCCGGGUGUCCCCU